AAUGGAGUUGGCCUUCUAUGGACUAAGCCUUCUGAAACUGUUUGCCUACACUGUCUCUAAUUCCUGGGCUCAAGCGAUCCUCCUCCUUCAGCCUCCUGAAUAACUGGGACUACAGUGUCUGCCUGAAAAACCUGGGUGCUUCUGUCAAGUCUUUGUCUUCGGAUUCCUGAAUCAUUC